UCCCAGUUGGCUCAGUGAGUAGAGCACGCGGCUCUUGAUCCCGGGGUGUGAGUUCAAGCCCCAUACUGGGUG
rnacentral:tRNA from 1 species